CCUACGGGUGGCAGCAGUGAGGAAUAUUGGUCAAUGGACGCAAGUCUGAACCAGCCAUGCCGCGUGCAGGAAGACGGCUCUAUGAGUUGUAAACUGCUUUUGUACGAGGGUAAACGCAGAUACGCGUAUCUGUCUGAAAGUACCGUACGAAUAAGGAUCGGCUAACUCCGUGCCAGCAGCCGCGGUAAUACGGAGGAUUCAAGCGUUAUCCGGAUUUAUUGGGUUUAAAGGGUGCGUAGGCGGGCGGGUAAGUUAGUUGUGAAAUCCCGCGGCUCAACCUCGGAAUUGCCUUUGAUACUGUACGGCUAGAGAGUAGAUGCGGUAGGCGGAAUGUGUGGUGUAGCGGUGAAAUGCUUAGAGAUCA
rnacentral:rRNA from 1 species